CCCUUAGAUGUCCUGGGCCGCACGCGCGCUACACUGAGUGUCUGAGAUACGAGUCUGCCUGGUCCGGCAAGGUCUAGGUAAUCGCUAAAAGACACAUCAUGCUUGGGAUAGAUUAUUGCAAAUAUUAAUCUUGAACGAGGAAUUCCUAGUAAGCGCAAGUCAACAGCUUGCGUUGAUUACGUCCCUGCCCUUUGUACACACCGCCCGUCGCUACUACUGAUUGGAUGUUUAAGCGAGGUUCUCGAACUGCUAGCGACUUAGCUUCGGUGAGGUCGCAGUGUGGGAAGUGAACCUAGCUUUGGUGUCUAGAGGAAGUAAAAGUCGUAAC
rnacentral:rRNA from 1 species